GUGGGGAAUAUUGCGCAAUGGGGGAAACCCUGACGCAGCGACGCCGCGUGAGCGAAGAAGGCCUUAGGGUUGUAAAGCUCUGUUUUAAGGGACGAAUGUCGUGGGGAGUAAUAUGCUCUGCGAAUGACGGUACCUUAAGAGGAAGCCCCGGCUAACUACGUGCCAGCAGCCGCGGUAAGACGUAGGGGGCGAGCGUUGUCCGGAAUUACUGGGCGUAAAGAGCACGUAGGCGGGAACUUAAGUCAGGUGUGAAAGACCGGGGCUCAACUCCGGGGUUACACUUGAAACUGGGUUUCUUGAGGGCAGGAGAGGAAAGCAGAAUUCCUGGUGUAGCGGUGAAAUGCGUAGAAAUCAGGAGGAAUACCAGUGGCGAAGGCGGCUUUCUGGACUGACCCUGACGCUGAGGUGCGAAAGCGUGGGUAGCAAACAGGAUUAGAAACCCCAGUAGUCC
rnacentral:rRNA from 1 species